CGCUCCGGUGGCCUAGUGGCUAGAGUGUCCGCCUCGGAUGCGGGAGAACGUAGGUUCGAUCCCCAGUCGGUCGA